rnacentral:rRNA from 1 species
UGGGGAAUAUUGCACAAUGGGGGAAACCCUGAUGCAGCGACGCCGCGUGAGCGAAGAAGGUUUUCGAAUCGUAAAGCUCUGUCCUAUGAGAAGAUAAUGACGGUAUCAUAGGAGGAAGCCCCGGCUAAAUACGUGCCAGCAGCCGCGGUAAUACGUAUGGGGCGAGCGUUGUCCGGAAUUAUUGGGCGUAAAGCGCGCGCAGGUGGUUUAGAAAGUCUGAUGUGAAAGCCCACGGCUCAACCGUGGAGGGUCAUUGGAAACUAAUAAACUUGAGUGCAGGAGAGAAAAGUGGAAUUCCUAGUGUAGCGAUGAAAUGCGUAGAGAUUAGGAGGAACACCGGUGGCGAAAGCGGCUUUUUGGCCUGCAACUGACACUGAGGCGCGAAAGCGUGGGGAGCAAACAGG